rnacentral:rRNA from 1 species
GGGCACCUACGGGAGGCAGCAGUGAGGAAUAUUGGUCAAUGGGCGGAAGCCUGAACCAGCCAAGUCGCGUGAGGGAUUAAGGCCCUGCGGGUCGUAAACCUCUUUUGCCGGGGAGCAGUGGUCCGGACGCGUCCGGACCGGGAGAGUACCCGGAGAAAAAGCAUCGGCUAACUCCGUGCCAGCAGCCGCGGUAAUACGGAGGAUGCGAGCGUUAUCCGGAUUUAUUGGGUUUAAAGGGUGCGUAGGCGGACUGUUAAGUCAGCGGUAAAAGCCCGGGGCUCAACCCCGGCGAGCCGUUGAAACUG